GAUGAACGCUGGCUACAGGCUUAACACAUGCCAGUCGAGGGGAAACGACGGGGAAGCUUGCUUCCCCGGGCGUCGACCGGCGCACGGGUGAGUACGCGUAUCCAACCUGCCUCUGACUGAGGGAUAACCCGUCGAAAGUCGGCCUAAUACCUCAUGGCAUCGUCUGCGGGCAUCCAACGACGAUUAAAGAUUUCAUCGGUCAGAGAUGGGGAUGCGUCUGAUUAGCUUGUUGGCGGGGUAACGGCCCACCAAGGCGACGAUCAGUAGGGGUUCUGAGAGGAAGGUCCCCCACAUUGGAACUGAGACACGGUCCAAACUCCUACGGGAGGCAGCAGUGAGGAAUAUUGGUCAAUGGGCGAGAGCCUGAACCAGCCAAGUAGCGUGCAGGAUGACGGCCCUAUGGGUUGUAAACUGCUUUUAUGCGGGGAUAAAGUGAGGGACGUGUCCUUCAUUGCAGGUACCGCAUGAAUAAGGACCGGCUAAUUCCGUG
rnacentral:rRNA from 1 species